rnacentral:SRP_RNA from 2 species
GCCAGGCAUGGUGGCGGGUGCCUGUAAUCCCAGCUACUUGAGAGGCUGAGGCAGAAGAAUUGCUUGAACCCAGGAGGCAGAGGUUGCAGUGAGCCAAGAUUGCGCCACUGCACUCCAGCCUGGGUAACAGGGCAAGACUCUGUCUCAA